GAUAGCGCUCGUGAGAAUUCAUCCCUCGAUAAUCGGGCUUCUUGUGUACGCUGUAUAUUUCUGGAGUCCGGAGUCCAAGCAUGUGGAAGCAAAGCACAGCUGAUGCUAUCUUCGUCAUUUUAUGUUUGUUUGUACUGUUAUACCUGAAAAAUAUUUACUGUAUCAUUGCAUUUUCAGUCCGUGUUAUCUUCUGAUAAGAACAGACUAUAGAUGCCUGAUUCUGUCAUCCUACAGUUGUCGUACUCGGACAAAAUAUCUUGUGCUCAAUAAGCUUUCUUAAUCUUCCACCUUUUUCUCCCUUCCACACCCAAUCCUUUGUCUCCUAGGAGAGAGCAACGUGAGAUUCCAUUGUGCUUGUAGGGUUUGAAGAUGAACAUUUGAAAUGUCUAAUAACAACUCCCCGGAACUUAUUGGGAUGA